rnacentral:rRNA from 1 species
CCCUAUUAUUAGGAGCAAAAUAAUUUUUAGAGAGUAGGUCUUCCAACUGAAAACAAUCCAGAAUGGCGGUUUCUUUUAUUCUCAGGUAGGUGUGUCUCUAAAACGAAGGUUCACGAAAAUCUUUCUUACUCUUGAAAAAUUCAUCCUGUACACCGCCGUCUGAAGGGUUAAAAAAAUCUCUGACCCUUUUCCUUAAAUUGCUCAGGAAUAAGUCAGGUAAGGUGCAGACUAUGGGUAAGAAAAGAUGCACUUCACUAAAACAUUUUCUAGAAAAUAGUUGAAACACUUUUUUCAAGAAGAAUUUGAAAGUAAAAUCUCUUAAUUAUAGAAAUUUGAACCAAUCCCAAAGAAAUGUACACAUCGCCCG